CCAUUUCUCACUGGCAGGCACUCCAGCUAUUCCUUCAAGUCCAAAUGCAUAACCGCACUCCGGAAUCCUGAUACCACUCCUGGUACAAGCUGGGACCCAGCAGGAAACGGAAACAGCGCAAUUGUUUGGACAAGGAAGGUGCCAGCUGGUGACAGCCCUAUGCAGUCCCUCCUUUGCUCAAAAGAACUCCCUAUUCCCUCUCCUCUGGAGCCUUCCAUGUGUUUGCACGUGAUAGCCAGGAUCUCGCUCGGACCCUAAUCCUGGCUCACAGAGCAUAGUAUGAGUCAAGAAAGUCAGUCCUGGCAGCUGGUGAAGAGGAGAAAGACCAGAGAGGUGUGGCUUGUCACAGGGUAGGGGGCACACUGCUGACCCUGGCCAGGACAACAGCCACCCUGCGACCAUGUGACAUGCCAGGGAAAGAGGAGGAGGGGUCCUCUUUCGUCUUCUCAGGGGAUGGGGACAUCAAUCAGGUGCAGGGUCGCUCAGCCUCCAAAGACACUCAGGAUGAGAGCUUUCAAGAACAUCGAGACCUCUGCUGGCCUCUGUCCUUCUACAGAGCCCAGGCCUAUGGUGAAGAGACCCUGAGCCUCCUGUCUCUGCACCCUGUUGGGAGCAUGUCAGCUACUCUGCCAGCAUGUGAGACAAGGACACACGCCUCCUCUGCUUAAACCCACAGGCCCGUGACAUCUCCUCAAGCAUGCGGACAUUCAGCCCUUUGGGCAACACAGGGAGGUGGCAGCUGAGGGGUGCUACAGUGGUGGCCAAGAUCACUGCACACGGCGACAGUAGUAGCCCAGGACCUUGCACUUUUCGCAGAGGAGGGGAGAGGAGAAAGAGCUUGACUUCCUGGCAGACCAAGUCCCAGAGGGCAGCUUACCC
rnacentral:lncRNA from 1 species